rnacentral:rRNA from 1 species
CCUACGGGUGGCUGCAGUGAGGAAUAUUGGUCAAUGGCCGGAAGGCUGAACCAGCCAAGCCGCGUGAAGGACGACGGUGCCAAGCAUUGUAAACUUCUUUUGUCAAGGGACAAAAUCAGGCUCGAGAGCCUGACCGAGGGUACUUGAAGAACAAGCAUCGGCUAACUCCGUGCCAGCAGCCGCGGUAAUACGGAGGAUGCGAGCGUUAUCCGGAUUUAUUGGGUUUAAGGGGUGCGUAGGGGGACUGUUAAGUCAGCGGUAAAAGGUGGGGGCGAAACCGCGGCGGGCAGUUGAAACUGGCAGUCUUGAGUAGUCGAGAGGUAGGCGGAAUGCGCGGUGUAGCGGUGAAAUGCUGAGAUAUUGCGAAGAACUCCGAUUGCGAAGGCAGCAUACUGGAGGGGAACUGACGCUGAGGCACGAAAGCGUGGGUAUCGAACAGGAUUAGAUACCCGUGUAGUC